rnacentral:rRNA from 1 species
UACGGAGGGGGCUAGCGUUGUUCGGAAUUACUGGGCGUAAAGCGCGCGUAGGCGGACCUGCAAGUCGGGGGUGAAAGCCCGAGGCUCAACCUCGGAACUGCCUUCGAUACUGCGGGUCUCGAGUCCGGGAGAGGUGAGUGGAAUUCCUAGUGUAGAGGUGAAAUUCGUAGAUAUUAGGAAGAACACCGGUGGCGAAGGCGGCGACCUGGUCCGAUACUGACGCUGAGGCGCGAAAGCGUGGGGAGCAAACAGG